UAGCAUAUCAAUAAGCGGAGGAAAAGAAACUAACAAAGGAUCCCCUAGUAACUGCGAGUGAAGCGGGAAAAGCUCAAAUUUAAAAUCUGGCAGUCUCUGGCUGUCCGAGUUGUAAUCUAGAGAAGUGCUGCCCGCGCUGGACCGUGUACAAGUCUCCUGGGAUGGAGCGUCAUAGAGGGUGAGAAUCCCGUCUCUGACACGGACUACCAGGGCUUUGUGGUACGCUCUCAAAGAGUCGAGUUGUUUGGGAAUGCAGCUCAAAAUGGGUGGUAAAUUCCAUCUAAAGCUAAAUAUUGGCGAGAGACCGAUAGCGAACAAGUACCGUGAGGGAAAGAUGAAAAGAACUUUGGAAAGAGAGUUAAACAGUACGUGAAAUUGCUGAAAGGGAAACGCUUGAAGUCAGUCACAUUGGCUGGGGAUCAGCCUCGCUCUUUUGCGUGGUGUACUUCCUGGUUGAUGGGUCAGCAUCAAUUUUGACCGCUGGAAAAAGGCUUGAGGAAUGUGGCAGCUCCGGCUGUGUUAUAGCUUCUUGUCACAUACAGCGGUUGGGAUUGAGGAACUCAGCACGCCGCAAGGCCGGGUUUCGACCACGUUCGUGCUUAGGAUGCUGGCAUAAUGGCUUUAAGCGACCCGUCUUGAAACACGGACCAAGGAGUCUAACAUGCCUGCGAGUGUUUGGGUGGAAAACCCGAGCGCGUAAUGAAAGUGAAAGUUGAGAUCCCUGUCGUGGGGAGCAUCGACGCCCGGACCAGAACUUUUGGGACGGAUCCGCGGUAGAGCAUGUAUGUUGGGACCCGAAAGAUGGUGAACUAUGCCUGAAUAGGGUGAAGCCAGAGGAAACUCUGGUGGAGGCUCGUAGCGAUUCUGACGUGCAAAUCGAUCGUCAAAUUUGGGUAUAGGGGCGAAAGACUAAUCGAACCAUCUAGUAGCUGGUUCCUGCCGAAU
rnacentral:rRNA from 1 species